GACGAACGCUGGCGGCGUGCUUAACACAUGCAAGUCGAACGGAAAGGCCCCUUUGGGGGUACUCGAGUGGCGAACGGGUGAGUAACACGUGAGUAACCUGCCCUUGACUUCGGGAUAACUUCAGGAAACUGGGGCUAAUACCGGAUAGGCAUCCUUGCUGCAUGGGGGGGGUUGGAAAGCUUCGGCGGUUUUGGGUGGACUCGCGGCCUAUCAGCUUGUUGGUGGGGUAGUGGCUUACCAAGGCUUUGACGGGUAGCCGGCCUGAGAGGGCGACCGGCCACAUUGGGACUGAGAUACGGCCCAGACUCCUACGGGAGGCAGCAGUGGGGAAUAUUGCACAAUGGGCGGAAGCCUGAUGCAGCAACGCCGCGUGCGGGAUGACGGCCUUCGGGUUGUAAACCGCUUUCAGCAGGGGCGAAGCUUGUGGUGACGGUACCUGCAGAAGAAGCACCGGCUAACUACGUG
rnacentral:rRNA from 1 species